rnacentral:tRNA from 1 species
ACUGCGGUAGUUUAAUUAAAACACCUGCCUAUCAAGCAGGGGAUGAAGGUCCAAUCCUUCCCGCAGUUC